UUUCAAUAACAUCCAUGAAGUCUCUCUGUCAACAUUGGGUCGAAUCCUCAAAUUAAAUAAAGUACACAUGAAGCAACUGUAUCGAGUACCAUUUGACAGAAAUUCAGAGAGAGUGAAACGUCUGCGUAAUGAGUAUGUGGAGAGAGUCUUGCAAAUGGAUGCUGACGAAAUCCAACAUGAAUUUAUAUAUGUUGAUGAGGCUGGAUUUAACCUUGCGAAAACUAGAAGAAGAGGGAGAAAUGUAAUUGGACACAGGGCAAUUACCAAUGUGCCAGGGCAGCGAGGGGGUAACAUCACCCUUUGCGCUGCCAUUACCCAAAAUGGGGUCCUCCACCGCCAUGCGAAUCUGGGACCCUAUAACACCAAUCUAAUACUUGCAUUUCUUGAUAGAUUACACGACAUCGUCACAGCAUUAAACCAAGUGGACCACAUGCAGUACAUUGUCAUUUGGGACAAUGUAUCUUUCCAUCGAUCUGCUCUGGUUCACAAUUGGUUCCAUGAGCACCCUGAAUUUGCAGUCUUAUACCUUCCACCAUAUUCCCCCUUCCUAAACCCAAUAGAGGAGUUUUUUUUGCAUGGCGGUGGAAGGUAUACGACUUUCAGCCCUACAACCGUUUGCCCCUCAUUCAGACCAUGGAGCAGGCCUGUGAUCUUAUCGAAGCAGCUUCUGUGCAGGGGUGGAUUCGUCACACAAGGCGAUUCUUCCAACAGUGCCUUGCCAAUGAAGACAUAGCCUGUAUUACAUACAGUAUUGUUGUUGUUGUUGUUGCUUUAGUUUUUCUUCAGAGUUGCUGUAAGUGUAGAUACUUCAUGCAGUAAUUUUUAUUUGUCUACAGAUUUUUAUUUGUCUACACUUUACAGUAGUAAGAAAAACUACUAUUUUGUUCUGAUUUUCAUUGUUGAUCUGUUACUGUAACUGAGUAUGGUAAGAAAUAAAUAUUUUCAGUCUG